rnacentral:rRNA from 1 species
GGGUGUGGGUCUUACUCUGGGGCAUACUGAGUUCCCCGAGGUAAAGAAAUCAACCGAGAUUCCCCCAGUAGCGGCGAGCGAACGGGGAGCAGCCCAGAGUCAACAUCAAUAUUUACCGCAGGAGAAGGGUCUGGAAAGGCCGGCAAUAAAGGGUGAUAGCCCCGUAUCUGAAGCGGUAAGUGUUGUGAACUCGAAGAGUAGGGCGGGACACGUGUUAUCCUGUCUGAAUAUGGGGGGACCCAUCCUCCAAGGCUAAAUACUCCUGACUGACCGAUAGUGAACCAGUACCGUGAGGGAAAGGCGAAAAGAACCCCGGCGAGGGGAGUGAAAUAGAACCUAAAACCGUGUACGUACAAGCAGUGGGAGCACCCGAAAGGGUGUGACUGCGUACCUUUUGUAUAAUGGGUCAGCGACUUAUAUUCUGUAGCAAGGUUAACCGCAUAGGGGAGCCGUAGGGAAACCGAGUCUUAACUGGGCGUUAAGUUGCAGGGUAUAGACCCGAAACCCGGUGAUCUAGCCAUGGGCAGGUUGAAGGUUGGGUAACACUAAUGGGAAGGACCA